UCCAGUUGAAGCAAUCAGAAUAAUGAGUGUGACUUCCUGAAGAUGAAGAAGGUGUGCAUGCCGACUUCAUAACAAUCUGGGGUUAAGGA
rnacentral:tRNA from 1 species